UACAGCCUUCUUUUGACACAACGGAAGGCCUCCUCUCGGCUUUCUGCAAGCAGCUUUUCACUCCCAGGCUCCGCGGGAGCCAGGUGCAUAGCCUCAUAAUGCGCCUAUUAUACAGCCAGGCUCAGUCGCCAUGGCUCACACAAUGACCCUUCUGAUCUGGCCACAACAGCGGGGAUGGGUGCCAAGGCUUCGGUCCCCACCCACAGCAGAUUUAGGUAUGCACUUCGGGUGUAUUUUGCAGCCCCUCUUUACUCCUCCCAAAGGAGGGUUGAAUGCAACCCCCCCCCCCGCCCACUUCCACCCCCGGACACACACACUCGGUUUCAAGACAAACAAGAGUAAUUGUGGCACACCACCUGCGCGCGCAGCUCCAGGUCUUUCCGGCCUCCGCCCAGACAUUCCAGCCAGCCUAGUUGGUGCGGACUGAGACCUCCUGGACACUGCAGCUUAGGCUCAGUCCCUCUUAAUUGACAGUUCAGUACCUGGAGACUGAGGGUUUCAUUUUUCGUUCAGUGAGCACCUCUGAUCCCGUGGUAAAUUGAAGAAAGAGCAGGAGUCAGCGCUCACCAGCUUCAUACCAACCACAGCCACUCCUGUGAGCCCUGGUUACCUCAUUUUGAAGGAAGCAAACUAAAACGUGGCUUUACAAUCAGAGCAACUGUUGCAUGCUAUUGUAUAAUUUUGUUUGGAUUUGGGUGCUCUGGCUUGCUGGGACUUUUGUGCAAGAUAUUAGGUUGAAAUCAAAAGGGGAGGAGAUGCACGACAAACCCAUUUCUGCAGAGAGAAUGGCUGGGCUGCAGAGAGGCUACUGAGACCCAUUCCUGCUUAGCUCCAGGAACUGACCCGUUGCUCCCAGUAAGGGCCCUACUCCUGGGUAGUACCCAGGAAGGGUAGAAGAAACCCGGAAAGGAAGUUUGCCUCCAGAGAUUGGGUUGCCAUAGCUGUUGGAUCAAGAAGACGUUGUUUCAUUGGAAUUUGAGAGCCAUUAAUGGUUUUCAGGAACAUAUUCAUUUGCAGCCUUGAUUCUGCAGCUUUGACUCACUUGCAGCUAUGAAUAAUAAAGACAUGAUACAGAAAUUGUCUCCUCACAUAAAACUCACAGGGAAGGCUACUCAGAGCAGGUGUUCGAGCCCCAAGCAUGGUCAAGGACCCAGGCUGCUCCCAGACUUGGGCUUUUGUGUUCCAAAGCAUCAAGUUCAUUCUCAUAGUUGCCUUGGUGUCCAAGGUGGCUGCCAGACUUCGUCCAUUGCACUUGAAUUGCAGGCUCAGCAGAGGAGGAAGAAGGAAGAGCAAGAGGGUUGUGCAGCCCAACUGGGCCCAUCUUCCCAGCAGUCUCUUAUGAGCCACACCAUUGGCCCGGAUGCAGCAUGAUGCAGACUCCAUUCUGGGCAGUGCACUGUGCAUUUGGAAGAGUUCCCUUUAAAGAGAACAUGGCUGGAUAUUGAGAGUUCCUGACGUGUUGCUGUGGCCAUGGUUAGCA